rnacentral:rRNA from 1 species
AUUGAACGCUGGCGGCAGGCCUAACACAUGCAAGUCGAGCGAGCGGCGGACGGGUGAGUAGUGUAUGGGGAGUGCCCGAUAGAGGGGGAUAACUACUGGAAACGGUGGCUAAUACCGCAUACUAUCGGAUAACCCAUAUGGGUGUAGCGGGGUGGUGGGGGAAAGGCCCACCUAGGGGACGACCUCUAGCUGGUCAGAGAGGAUGGACAGCCACACUGGGACUGAGACACGGCCCAGACCCCAAGGGAGGCAGCCGGUGGGAAUUUUGCACAAUGGGCGCAAGCCUGAUUGAGCCCUGGCGGGUGUAUGAAGAAGGCCUUAGGGUUUUAAAGUACUUUCAGCGGGGAGGCGUUACCCGCAGAAGAAGCACCGGCUAACUCCGUGCCAGCAGCCGCGGUAAUAC